GAUGAACGCUGGCGGCGUGCCUAAUACAUGCAAGUCGAGCGAACGGACGAGAAGCUUGCUUCUCUGAUGUUAGCGGCGGACGGGUGAGUAACACGUGGAUAACCUACCUAUAAGACUGGGAUAACUUCGGGAAACCGGAGCUAAUACCGGAUGAUAUUUUGAACCGCAUGGUUCAAAAGUGAAAGACGGUCUUGCUGUCACUUAUAGAUGGAUCCGCGCUGCAUUAGCUAGUUGGUAAGGUAACGGCUUACCAAGGCAACGAUGCAUAGCCGACCUGAGGGGGUGGUAGGCAACACUGGAAAUGAGACACGGUCCAGACUCCGACGGGAGGCAGAAGUAGGGAAUAUGCAGCAAUGGGCGAAAGCCGGACGGAGCAACGCCGAGUGAGUGAUGAAGGUCUGCGGAUCGUAAAACUCUGUGAUGAGGGAAGAACAAAUGGGUAAGGAAAGGUGCACACCGGGACGGUACCUGAUCAGAAAGCCACGGCUAACUACGUG
rnacentral:rRNA from 1 species